GGCAAUAACAACAGCAGUGGUGGCAACAACACGCAUACGCCGUGUGGAAAAGCGCAAGUCGAAUCGAAGCCAGCUACUUGAGGCCCGGGACUUAUAAGUCGACCCGUCUGGCCUGCUCAGCUUAGUUGGGUUGACAGACUUGAGAUUGUCAUCGCCAUGGCAAUCGCAAUUGCAUUUAGCGAUGUGACAUAGAAACAAGAAGCGAAGCAAGCUUGCAGCUGUUACAAAAACUUAAUAUUCUAUAUUUCGAUUUCGAUGAACCUUAGGAUGCCUUUUUAGCUUUCGAUUAGUAUGAAUAUGACUGCAAAUUUUGCACUUGAUCAAAAAUAAUGAGACAAAAGGCUGUGCUCACAAUCGACGCACUUCCAAAAUCAACAAUGUUCAAUUAACAGUCAACAUUGAAACAGAACUCUUGGUAAAUGUUAGAUUAGAUCCAUGUAACACUCAACAAUUAAUAAUCAACAAUAACAUAACAUUUGGGAAAUUACAACUCCCAAAAUUCUAGCCAAAAAUUACGAUUUAGAAAUCGGAUUACUCGGAUGUCCGAAAGUGUGAGUGUGCGUUACCUGAGGAGGGGCUCCAGUUGAUUAAUUUGACAUAGAUUAUACACCAGAAUUUAGAAUCAAGGAUCUCUCAAGAUUAUGUGUGUCCGUGUGAAUAAGCAGCGGUUGCAAGAGGCUCUCAACGAUACCAUCUAACUUUGACUGGAUGCAGUUCAUUAAGGAUUUAAAACGCGGCAAAACUAAGCUUAAAACUAAGAAUUAUUGCUUUUUCAAUUGCAUACCACCCCAAAAAACGUUUUAAAUUCCAAUAGACAUGCAGUUUUUAAGCUUUAAUUACAGGCGCCCCGUAAUUAUUUUCAAAGUUUCACUUUUUAGCUCUCGAUAUAAUUUAAGGGUUUCGCAUGCGAUAUGUUCAAGUAAUAAGAUCUAUUUGUCAACGAAUUUCGCACUUCGAUUCGCACACCUCCCACUGUUGUUGGCUUAUAGUUCAUUGGUUUUGUUUUGUUUCGUCUUACCUCCCUCCAACUAUUUUGCAUAAAUAACACUAACUUAAAAAACUUGCUUUGAAUGCCAUUAUCGACCAUGUGCUGCUGUUGUAUUGUCCAUCUUUUAGCCCGCUUUCGAGUUCGUCGCCACCAAGCAAACAAAAAAAAAUAAAAAGAUACGGAAUUCGAGCAAAAUCUAGAAAACAAUUGACAACAUUGAGUUGUCCUUAAGCCGGUUUCAAUUUAGUGCCUCUGGGGUCAUAGAUAUCAUAAAAUAUGUCAUCGAGAACGGGAGAAUAUGGGUGGCUAAACACUCAUGUAUAAUGUAUGCGACAGCAUAGAGGUGCUAAGAGCUCAGUUCCCCCGGAUAUCCCCCUACACAGAAAACAAAAAGUCUUGCAUUUAAAGACAACUAAUUAUAUUUGAUAAGUUUUUCCUAUACCAGUUGUUCUCCUUGUUGCAAUAAGUUAUA